UACAGAGACUGCAAGCGUUAUUCGGAUUCACUGGGCGUAAAGGGUGCGCAGGCGGUCGGGUGUGUCAGAUGUGAAAUCCCGAGGCUCAACCUCGAAACUGCGUCUGAAACUACUCGACUAGAGUACUGGAGAGGGUAACGGAAUUCACGGUGUAGCAGUGAAAUGCGUAGAUAUCGUGAGGAACACCAGAGGCGAAGGCGGUUACCUGGACAGUUACUGACGCUCAGGCACGAAAGCAUGGGGAGCAAAAGGG
rnacentral:rRNA from 1 species